rnacentral:lncRNA from 1 species
GCAACCUAUCAACGGGUUGUCCGAUUCAUCUCAAAAUUUCAGGGCAGAUAGAUCUUGACCUGAUUAACAAUUUUACCCCUGUCAGAUUUGCUCUAAAUGCUUUGGUUUUUGAGUUAUAAGUCAAAAACUGCAUUUUACCCCUAUGUUCUAUCUUUAGCCAUGGCGGCCAUCUUGGUUGGUUGGCCGGGUCACCGGACACAAUUUUUAAACUAGAUACCCCAAUGAUGAUUGUGGCCAAGUUUGGUAAAAAUUGGCCCAGCAGUUUCAGAGGAGAAGAUUUUUGUAAAAGCUAACGACGGACGACG